GACGAACGCUGGCGGCGUGCCUAAUACAUGCAAGUAGAACGCUGAAGGCGGAGCUUGCUUCUCUGGAUGAGUUGCGAACGGGUGAGUAACGCGUAGGUAACCUGCCUGGUAGCGGGGGAUAACUAUUGGAAACGAUAGCUAAUACCGCAUAAUAGUAGAUGUUGCAUGACAUUUGCUUAAAAGGUGCAAUUGCAUCACUACCAGAUGCACCUGCGUUGUAUUAGCUAGUUGGUGAGGUAACGGCUCACCAAGGCAACGAUACAUAGCCGACCUGAGAGGGUGAUCGGCCACACUGGGACUGAGACACGGCCCAGACGCCUACGGGAGGCAGCAGUAGGGAAUCUUCGGCAAGGGACGGAAGUCUGACCGAGCAACGCCGCGUGAGUGAAGAAGGUUUUCGGAUCGGAAAGCUCUGUUGUAAGAGAAGAACGAGUGUGAGAGUGGAAAGUUCACACUGUGACGGUAUCUUACCAGAAAGGGACGGCUAACUACGUG
rnacentral:rRNA from 1 species